UACGUGAGGGUGCGAGCGUUGGUCCGGAAUUAUUGGGCGUAAAGAGCUCGUAGGCGGUGUGUCACGUCGGCCGUGAAAACCUGCAGCUUAACUGUGGGCGUGCGGUCGAUACGGGCAUCACUGGAGUUCGGCAGGGGAGACUGGAAUUCCUGGUGUAGCGGUGAAAUGCGCAGAUAUACAGGAGGAACACCGGUGGCGAAGGCGGCUCUCUGGGACGGUACUGACGCUGAGACGCGAAAGCGUGGGGAGC
rnacentral:rRNA from 1 species